rnacentral:rRNA from 1 species
UACGGGGGGAGCAAGCGUUGUUCGGAAUUACUGGGCGUAAAGCGUGCGCAGGCGGUGAUGUAAGACAGGUGUGAAAUCCCCGGGCUUAACCUGGGAACUGCAUUUGUGACUGCAUCGCUGGAGUGCGGCAGAGGGGGAUGGAAUUCCGCGUGUAGCAGUGAAAUGCGUAGAUAUGCGGAGGAACACCGAUGGCGAAGGCAAUCCCCUGGGCCUGCACUGACGCUCAUGCACGAAAGCGUGGGGAGCAAACAGG